UCUUAUGGAUGAGCAAAGAAAGCGCUUUCUUGAGAUGGGAUCUGCUCCUGCUGAAGAUACUGUGAA
rnacentral:pre_miRNA from 1 species